UGUCCUUGCACCAGAACGUCUACAUGUAAUAGAAUUGCUUAGAGACCCCUAGAUCUUUGCUAAUCACAUUAGUAAAUUCUUCCUUGGUACCCUAUCUUAUUAUGGCAACAACAUGUGUUUCAAAUUUCAGCCACUCACAAGUCAUUUCUUACAGAAGACGGAGUGCAUUGAAGUGCAUUUCCAAUGACUUUACAUUAGAGUGACAUGGUAAAUGUGUAGCAUAACAAUCCAAAGAGACUUUGAGAUUGGCUCUACUUGAAAACACUAUGGAAAAUACAUCCUUCAAGGUUUAAAAAUGUGCGAUCAGAAAUACAGCUUAACCAAGGUUGUGUCACAUGGUCACUAUCAUUCUUUAAUGAGCUCACUCUAAGCACCACAGGGACAUAAGAAAAAUACGUAUAAUUGGCUCUGCCCUACAGAAGAAAAAAUCUAGAAUCAAAGCAUCUAGUUCAAGGUCACAUUAUUGAGUAAAAAGACAGCCUGGAAGAAAUACAUUUAGUACUCAAUCCAGGACGCAACACAUCUCCUACUUCUUCAUGUGUACACAAUUUCUAGUAAUGUUAAUGCUUCAUAUUAACCAGGCAUAUAAAACUAAGUUCACAUUUCUCAAAGAUAAAGUUAUACAAUUAAUAAAAUUGUCUUUAUCUUAUAUCUAAAGAAAAAACAGAGGUGGAAAUAUAUCACUAAGCCCUAAACAUACCAUUUAAAACCCUAUGCAUCUUUAAUUAGAUCAAAGUAAAUAAUCUUUUACUUCUACUUCUGCAGUUAUUAUACUAUGUGCUCAUACUUCUUAUCCAUGAACCUGGAAAAGACUAUCUGAGCAGAGGAAAUACCCAGAUGUGAGCAAAGGUGGCUUUUGGCCAGUUCAUACUAACAUUCCAUUUAUUUGCUUCCAAAGAAGAAUUCAGGGUCACCAAUACGGUAUGGCACUUUUCAGUUUUUCUAGUUGGUCUGUCUUUACCUUUUGGCAAAAACAAAAAACAAAAACCUCAUCUUCACAGAGGCCUACUCCUCUAUUUACUUGUUGAAUGAUUUUUAAAAUGAAAAGCGCUAAGUCUGUACUCCAGAACUUCUCUAAAAAUGUAGAUUCUCUAGUCCUAUUCCUGAUCUACUGUCUCAAAAUUUCUGGUGGGUGAAGCAUGGAAUAUUUAUUUUUAAUAUUUUUAAUAAGGUUCCCAGAUGACUGUGCACACUAAAGUUGGAGAAUUUCUGCACUAAAGAAUGAAGUCCCAUCUGAAACUUUCCCUGCCCAAGUAGUUUUACUCUUAAUGACCUUCCUUUCUGGCUUUUAGGAGCCAAAGAAAGAAUGCUCUCUAGAAAUACGAAAAAUGAUAGAAAAGAAAAACAUAGAAGCAGAAACUCUAUCAAGAGAGUGAAAGAGAAAAGAGAUUAAAAUCCAGUCAUGUGCAAAGUGAAACACAGACCCAGAAAUAUAGAAAUGCAAGCAAAAGAUAGCUGGACAACAUGCCCAAAACAAAAUAGAAAGCUGUAUCUGAACAUAUCUGUCUAAUCAUAACUAAGUGUGAAACACAUGUAUCCAAACCUCAUCUCUUUGCUUUAGUCUCUUCUUUAAAAGCAACAUGGGUUAUUCGGCAGUAAUUUUUCUAGUCAACUUGGAUGAAUGGUCUUGACAAUUGUUUUUGUCCUACAGGAAGUAUUGAAGUCAAAUAUUUUACUGUUGUUGCUGUUACGACAAAAAGUACUUAUUGGGACGUCAAACACACAGUAACAGUCCAUUUAAAAAUAUAUCUGAUGAUUAGGUAGGUCCUUGUGAUAAGAUCUAUUACAAAGGAAGAUGCAGAAGCUGUGUCCAAGAGAUCCAUGUCUUAUCCAUGUCUAGCUACUUUGCAUUUUAGUGUCUUAAGGCUGAAUCACACUUGAGAGAUU
rnacentral:lncRNA from 10 species